rnacentral:rRNA from 1 species
UACGAGGGGGGCGAGCGUUGUUCGGAAUUAUUGGGCGUAAAGGGUGCGUAGGCGGUUUGGUAAGUCUUGUGUGAAAUCUACAGGCUCAACUUGUAGUCUGCACGAGAAACUGCCGGGCUUGAGUAUGGGAGAGGUGAGUGGAAUUCCUGGUGUAGCGGUGAAAUGCGUAGAUAUCGUGAGGAAUACCAAGUGCGAAGGCAGGACUCUGGACAUUUUCUGACGCUGAGACACGAAGGCUAGGGGAGCAAACGGG